GUACCUUCAAGCUCUGCUUGGUGUUGGGUGUUUGUCUCGCCUCUGCGCGCAGACUCGCCUCAAAACGAUUGGCAGCCGGCGUAUUGAUUUCGGAGCGCAGUACAUCUCGCGCUUUGCAACCAGACGACGACGUCCAAAAAGUACAUUUUUACAC
rnacentral:misc_RNA from 1 species